ACGUAUUAUUUUUUUAAUAAAUUUAUAAUUAUUUACUUAUUUAAUAUAAUUAUUAUUGUUUUAGUAUUCUCAAGAAAAUAAUUAAUUAUUUAUACUGAAAAGGAAAUAUAGAUUUUGUUAAAUAAAGUAGUAUUAAAUAUGUACCUUUUGUAUCAGGGUAAGUUAAUAAAACUUAUGUAUAUAUAUAUCCCGAAAUGAAAUGAUUUAUGUUAUUUUGAUGAUUGUUGUGAUAUAAACAUCAUUUAAUAUAACUUGGAAAUGAAACUUUAUCGCAUUUUUUGAUAUCUGGUUUCCUAAGAAAUAAAUUCAAUUUAGGGAGACUAAUUGUGUAAAAAUAAUUACAUUAAGCUUUCUAAUUACAGGGGGGAUAAGCUCCCUGUAGUAACUAUAAAUUUUUAUAUAGAAUAUAUAAUAGGCUUAAAAUCAGCCAUUUUUGAUUUAGUUAAAUCUCAUUUUCUAUUAUUAAUCAUUUAAUUGUUUUUAGUUAGAUAUUAGGAAUUAAUCUAUAAUUAAUUAUUUUGAUUAUAAUGAUUUAAUUAGUAAAAUAUUGAAAUAUUGGAUAUGAAUUCGGCAAAUUUAACUUUCGCCUGUUUAUCAAAAACAUGUCCUUUAGAUGAAAAAUUAAAGGUCUAAUCUGCCCAAUGAUUAUUGAAUGGCCGCGGUAAUCUGACCGUGCAAAGGUAGCAUAAUAAUUAGUCUUUUAAUUGAAGGCUUGUAUGAAUGAUUGGACGAUAAGUUUACUUUAUUUUUUUUAAUAUUUAAAUUUAAUUUUUAAGUUAAAAAGCUUAAAUAUUUAUGUGGGACGAGAAGACCCUAUAGAGUUUCAGAAAUUAAUAUAUUAACUAUUAUUAGAUUUUUACUAUUUAGUGAAUUGUUUUAUUUUUUUUUGUUGGGGUGAUGUUGAAAUAUAAUUAACUUUCAAUUAAUUUAUCAUUAAUUGAUGAUUAAUUGAUCCUAUUUAAAGAUUACAAGAAUAAAUUACCUUAGGGAUAACAGCAUAAUUAAGUUGAAGAGUUCAAAUCAAUAACUUAGCUUGUGACCUCGAUGUUGGAUUAAGAAAAGACCCUGGGGCAAUUUUCAGGGAACUCUAGGUCUGUUCGACCUUUAAAUUCUUACAUGAUCUGAGUUCAGACCGGCGUGAGCCAGGUUGGUUUCUAUCUACAUUUAUUUUUUUAAUAUUAGUACGAAAGGACCAUAUUAAAUAAUUUCAUUAU
rnacentral:rRNA from 1 species